UUCUUCAGGGGUGGGUGAGAUUCCCUACCGGCAGUCAGAGCCUGCGAGCCGUCCUGUGACGGCUGAUCCGGUGCAAUUCCGGAGCCGACGGUAUAGUCCGGAUGAGAGAAGA
rnacentral:ncRNA from 1 species